rnacentral:rRNA from 1 species
GUAACGGCGAGUGAAGCGGCAACAGCUCAAAUUUGAAAUCUGGCUCUCGGGCCCGAGUUGUAAUUUGUAGAGGAUGCUUUUGGUGAGGUGCCUUCCGAGUUCCCUGGAACGGGACGCCAUAGAGGGUGAGAGCCCCGUCUGGUUGGACACCGAUCCUCUGUAAAGCUCCUUCGACGAGUCGAGUAGUUUGGGAAUGCUGCUCUAAAUGGGAGGUAUAUGUCUUCUAAAGCUAAAUACCGGCCAGAGACCGAUAGCGCACAAGUAGAGUGAUCGAAAGAUGAAAAGAACUUUGAAAAGAGAGUUAAAAAGUACGUGAAAUUGUUGAAAGGGAAGCGCUUGUGACCAGACUUGGGCUUGGUUGAUCAUCCGGGGUUCUCCCCGGUGCACUCUUCCGGCUCAGGCCAGCAUCAGUUCGCCCUGGGGGAUAAAGGCUUCGGGAAUGUGGCUCUCUCCGGGGAGUGUUAUAGCCCGCUGCGUAAUACCCUGUGGCGGACUGAGGUUCGCGCAUUCGCAAGGAUGCUGGCGUAAUGGUCAUCAGUGACCCGUCUUGAAACACGGACCAAGGAGUCGUCUUCGUAUGCGAGUGUUCGGGUGUCAAACCCCUACGCGAAAUGAAAGUGAACGCAGGUGAGAGCUUCGGCGCAUCAUCGACCGAUCCUGAUGUUAUCGGAUGGAUUUGAGUAAGAGCAUACGGGGCCGGACCCGAAAGAAGGUGAACUAUGCCUGUGUAGGGUGAAGCCAGAGGAAACUCUGGUGGAGGCUCGCAGCGGUUCUGACGUGCAAAUCGAUCGUCAAACAUGGGCAUGGGGGCGAAAGACUAAUCGAACCUUCUAGUAGCUGGUUUCCGCCGAAGUUUCCCUCAGGAUAGCAGUGUUGAACUCAGUUUUAUGAGGUAAAGCGAAUGAUUAGGGACUCGGGGGCGCUAUUUAGCCUUCAUCCAUUCUCAAACUUUAAAUAUGUAAGAAGCCCUUGUUGCUUAAUUGAACGUGG